rnacentral:rRNA from 1 species
AUUGAACGCUGGCGGCAGGCUUAACACAUGCAAGUCGAGCGGAGUGAUGGUGCUUGCACUAUCACUUAGCGGCGGACGGGUGAGUAAUGCUUAGGAAUCUGCCUAUUAGUGGGGGACAACAUCUCGAAAGGGAUGCUAAUACCGCAUACGUCCUACGGGAGAAAGCAGGGGAUCACUUGUGACCUUGCGCUAAUAGAUGAGCCUAAGUCGGAUUAGCUAGUUGGUGGGGUAAAGGCCUACCAAGGCGACGAUCUGUAGCGGGUCUGAGAGGAUGAUCCGCCACACUGGGACUGAGACACGGCCCAGACUCCUACGGGAGGCAGCAUUGGGGAAUAUUGGACAAUGGGGGGAACCCUGAUCCAGCCAUGCCGCGUGUGUGAAGAAGGCCUUAUGGUUGUAAAGCACUUAAGCGAGGAGGAGGCUUACCUAGUUAAUACCUGGGAUAAGUGGACGUUACUCGCAGAAUAAGCACCGGCUAACUCUGUGCCAGCCGCCGCCGUAAGAC